rnacentral:rRNA from 1 species
UACGGGAAGUGCAAGCGUUAUUCGGAAUUACUGGGUGUAAAGGGUGCGUAGAUGGUUAAAAAUAACUAAAAUAUAAAAAGUAAUGCCCAACAUUAUUAAGCGUUUUAGUAUUUUUUAUCUUGAGUUUAAAAGACGAUUAUAGAAUUUUAGGUGUAGCAGUAAAAUGCGUAAAUAUCUAAAGGAAUUCUCUCUGUGAAGACGUUAAUCGAGUUUAUAACUGACAUUGAGGCACGAAAGCGUGGGGAGCAAAAAGG